UCAAGCUACUAAGGGCAUAUGGGGAAUGCCUUGGUGCCAGAAGCCGAUGAAGGGCGUAGCAAGGCUGCGAUAAGCCCCGGAUAAGUGUCUAGCGACUUCAGCCGGGGAUUCCCGAAUGGGGAAACCUGCCUCAAUAGAGGCACUAUUCUUUAUGGAUAGAGGUAAGCGGGAGAACUGAAACAUCUAAGUACCCCGAGGAAAAAAAAUCAACCGAGACUCUCUUAGUAGCGGCGAGCGAAAAGGGAAUAGCCCAAACCAUACGGUCCUUACGGAGUAGGGUCCAGUGACCGUUUGGUGUUAUAGGAUCUAUAGUAGAUUUCCUACAAAUCUAAAAAAGUUACAAAUUGUUUACCUAGUCGAACAGUCCUGGAACGGCUGGCCGUAGCAGGUGAAAGCCCUUUAGGCGAAAGGUUAACAACUUUUUUAUAGAUUCCUGAGUACAACGGGACACGUGAAAUCUUGUGGGAAUCUGGGGGGACCACCCUCCAAGGCUAAGUACUUCUGGCGACCGAUAGUGAACUAGUACCGUGAGGGAAAGGUGAAAAGUACCCCGUGAGGGGAGUGAAAUAGACCUGAAACCGUAAACCUACAAACCGUGGGAGCUUGUUUUAUAUGAGUGACCGCGUGCCUAUUGAAGAAUGAGCCAACGAGUUACUUGAUAUGGCAAGAUUAAGAAGUUUAGCUUUGAAGUCGAAGCGAAAGCAAGUCUGAAUAGGGCGUUUAGUCGUGUCAAGUAGACCCGAAACCGUGUGAGCUACCUAUGGCCAGGUUGAAGCGAGAGUAAAAUCUCGUGAAGGACCGAACCCGUGUACGCUGCAAAGUGCUGGGAUGAGCUGUGGGUAGAGGUAAAAUGCCAAACGAACACGGAGAUAGCUGGUUCUCCCCGAAAUGUAUUUAGGUACAGCGUUAUGAAAUACUUUAUGGAGGUAGAGCACUGGAUAGACUAGGGGGCGUAAGCUUACCAAACCUAACCAAACUCCGAAUACCAUAAAGAGUAUCAUUGCAGUGAGACCGUGGGGGAUAAGCUCCAUUGUCGAAAGGGAAACAGCCCAGAUCGCAGGUUAAGGUCCCAAAGUAUAUGCUAAGUGUUAAACGAAGUAGGGUCGCCCAGACAGCCAGGAGGUUGGCUUAGAAGCAGCCAUCCUUUAAAGAGUGCGUAAUAGCCCACUGGUCAAGGGGCCCCGCACGGAAAAUAAACGGGGCUAAAGCAUAUCACCGAGACUGCGGGAUUUAAUUUUUUAAUUAGAUCGGUAGGGGAGUGUCGUUAAAGCGCUGAAGCUGAGCUGUAAGGCUUGGUGGAGUUUUAACAAGUAAGAAUGUUGGCAUGAGUAGCAAAAAUGCCGGUGAGAAUCCGGCAGGCCGUAAGUCUAAGGAUUCCUACGCAACGUUGAUCGGCGUAGGGUUAGUCGGUCCUAAGGCGUAUCCGAAAGGAGAAGUCGAUGGAUAGCUGGUAAAUAUUCCAGCACCUUUAAAUAAUUGUUUGACUCAAAGAGGUGACGCGAACAGAUAAGCAGAGCAUACGUAUUGGACAUCGUGUGUUUUUGACCGUAGGAGAGUAGAAAAGGUUAAAAUAUUUUCUAUGUUUGAUCUGAGGAGAUAGAAAACCAUGAGGUUAGCCUCGUGGAAUUAUGCUGAUUCUAAGUCGCCCAGAAAAACCUCGUUGAUUAGAUUUUUUGAAGACCGUACCGCAAACCAACACAGGUAGACAGGGAUAAAAGUCCCAAGGCCUUCGAGAGAACCAUCGUUAAGGAACUCGGCAAAUUGACCCCGUAACUUAGGGAGAAGGGGGGCCUUAAGUGUAUAUGAGCUAGCCUCAAAAAGCACCUAAGGUAGCAUAAAAUAGGCUGAAGCGACUGUUUACCAAAAACACAGGUCCAUGCCAAAGCGAAAGCUGAUGUAUAUGGGCUGACGCCUGCCCAGUGCCGGUAGGUUAAGGAAAGUAGUGCAAGCUAUUGACUGAAGCCCCGGUGAACGGCGGCCGUAACUAUAACGGUCCUAAGGUAGCGAAGUCCCUUGUCGGGUAAGUUCCGACCCGCACGAAUGGCGUAACGACUUCAGCACUGUCUCAACGAUGGACUCGGUGAAAUUGCAGGACCCGUGAAGAUGCGGGUUACGCGCAGCAGGACAAAAAGACCCCGUGGAGCUUUACUGCAACUUGGCAUUGGUUCGAGUUUUAAAAUGUGUAGGAUAGGCGGGAGACUAUGAACUUCAGGCGUUAGCCUGGGGGGAGUCGCCCUUGAAAUACCGCCCUUUUUAUGAUUUGAACCUAACCUUUUGGAACAGUGUCUGGUGGGCAGUUUGACUGGGGCGGUCGCCUCCCAAAGAGUAACGGAGGCGUACAAAGGUCACCUCAAGCUGGAUGG
rnacentral:rRNA from 1 species